UACGUAGGGUGCGAGCGUUGUCCGGAAUUAUUGGGCGUAAAGAGCUUGUAGGCGGUCUGUCGCGUCUGCCGUGAAAUUUCGGGGCUCAACCCCGAACUUGCGGUGGGUACGGGCAGACUAGAGUGUGGUAGGGGAGACUGGAAUUCCUGGUGUAGCGGUGAAAUGCGCAGAUAUCAGGAGGAACACCGGUGGCGAAGGCGGGUCUCUGGGCCGAUACUGACGCUGAGGAGCGAAAGCGUGGGGAGCGAACAGG
rnacentral:rRNA from 1 species